AGCCCAACAGCUAGCCCCC
rnacentral:rRNA from 2 species